rnacentral:tRNA from 1 species
AGUCCUGUGGUGUAGUGGUUAUCACGUUGCUCGUCAGUUUAGCCCUUUUACCCCGUCACAGGCCACCGCUAACCCCCACAUAGUUAUACCUACUGGUCACGCUAGUAUGAUAUGCAAAGGUCCCGAGUUCAAUCCUCGGUAGGACUA